AUGGAGUUAAGAUCAUUUCGUAAGAUUCUGAUAUGUUUUUCAAAUUCGCUUCCUUUAUGCAUGAACCUAUCAUCAAGAUUUAGACCUCUUAUAUGGUGCAUGUAUGCUGUUGUAAGAAGAAAUGUAAUAUUGUCCUCAUCAAUUUCUUUCUUAGCAUGCACAAUGUGUUACAACAUCAAUUUCAUUGGUUUGGAGAAGGUGAUAAACAUGCAACCGUUCUUACUUGAUGAUAUGAAUGCUUCAUUGGAGCAAUAUUGGCCUUUGUUUGCACAUUAG
rnacentral:rRNA from 1 species